AUGAGCAUCCACAGCCGUUUCCAAUCCAUGGGGCAGGUCAGGAGCCCGGUGGCUGUGCGCAGCUCUGGGGGCAGGCUCAGGUGUCUGCCCUCGGGGUGGCUCUGCGCUGGGAGCGCCGCAGGGGCCCCGCCUGGCUGCUCCUCCGGGCUGGGGACUCCACCUUCCACUCCCUGGGGCGGCACGGGCUGCAGGAAGGAAGGAGAACAGCCCUGCAUUUCCAAACCCUUGGCCAACCCCUCUGCAGUGCCUGCUCCAGCCCCUCUCUGCCUGUUCCAUCCUCUCUUUCUCUAUUCCUGCAAUGCCUGCUCCAGUGUUUCUGCCUGCAGUGGAUGUUCCAGCCUCUGCUGCUCCAGGUUUCCCUGCAGUGCCUGCUCCAGCCUGUCCUCUGCCCUGCAGUGCCUGCUCCAGUGUUUCUGCCUGCAGUGGAUGUUCCAGCCUUUCUUUAUUCCUGCAAUGCCUGCUCCAGUGUUUCUGCCUGCAGUGCGAUCGCUCUUUCUCCCUCAGGCCUGUCCAUUUCUCUUGCAUGGUUCCCCCCUGCAAUGCCUGCUCCAGUGUUUCUGCCUGCAGUGCCUGCUCCAGCCCCUCUUUCUCCCUGCAGUGGCUGCUCCAGUCUUUCUUUCUGCCUGUAGAGCCUGCUCCAGCCCCUCUUUCUCUCUGCCUGUUGCAUCCUCUCUUUCUGCCUGCAGUGCCUGCUCCAGCUUCUCUCUCUCUCUCUCUGCCUGUUCCAGCCCCUCUCUGCCAGCAGUGAGUGCUCCAGCCUCUCUCUGCCUGCAGUGGUCCAGUGUUUCUUUCUGCCUGCAGUGGAUCUUCCAGCCCCUCUCCCUGCCUGCUCCAGCCCCUCUCUCUCUGCCUGUUCCAUCCUCUCUCUCUCCCAGCAGUGCCUGCCCCAGCCCUGUGCUGCACUCACGGUUUUUCUGGAGAUGUCAAACAGAUGAUAUCCCUCGGCCCAUCCUCAGCCUCUUUCUUCACUGCAAACAAAACACAAUAUUUUCAUAUUUUACAAAAUGCCACAGAGUUUGGUCAUUUGGGGUUGGCUUCAUUUCCCCUUACCCUCAAAUAAGAAUGCCAAGGGUGACUUGCCUGGAGCUGAAUGGGGUGUGUGCAUCAUGCUGAUGUAGCUGACCCCAGCACCAAAAGUCAACUCAUUAAUGGUCUCUGGAAAUAAAUAAAAAAUAAAAAAAUCACAUAUUAGCAGCCUGUGACACAGCCAGAGGGCAAAGCACGCUGCUGUGCCGUACUCAAGUGUCAC
rnacentral:lncRNA from 1 species